AGAACCCCGAAGUGUUUAAUACUGCAUUUGCUUGAUGUCCCUUCCAUAGUUGGUCUUCUGGUUUUAGGGGGCGGGUCCGAUCUACUCCGUACCGUGUGCUUUGCGUGGCCGCGUGCUUGUGGGGGCGGGAGCGCGUGUGGCAUGUAACAGGUCAUGUGGCAGCCUCCUAGGGACACGCGUGGGGUCUGGAGCAGGACAGGCGUAUGCAGCUGGACCCUUCGUGUGGUUCAGGAGAUGAUGGACGAGAGAGAACUGAACACGAGUGGGGUGGGGCAUAUGAGGGUUUAGGGAACAGAACCAGGGCUUUCUACAUCCUCCCUUUCCUCUGGUGUGUGUCUUAGGUAGUGACUAGGUGGUGGCAUUCUCUAGGACUUAGGGCCUUGGGAAAGAAGGAAGGUUGGGGAGGGGGGGAUUAGCGUUGCUUGAGCAGAGCGUGGGGA
rnacentral:lncRNA from 1 species